CGGUAGAGAGAAGCUUGCUUCUCUUGAGAGCGGCGGACGGGUGAGUAAUGCCUAGGAAUCUGCCUGGUAGUGGGGGAUAACGUUCGGAAACGGACGCUAAUACCGCAUACGUCCUACGGGAGAAAGCAGGGGACCUUCGGGCCUUGCGCUAUCAGAUGAGCCUAGGUCGGAUUAGCUAGUUGGUGAGGUAAUGGCUCACCAAGGCGACGAUCCGUAACUGGUCUGAGAGGAUGAUCAGUCACACUGGAACUGAGACACGGUCCAGACUCCUACGGGAGGCAGCAGUGGGGAAUAUUGGACAAUGGGCGAAAGCCUGAUCCAGCCAUGCCGCGUGUGUGAAGAAGGUCUUCGGAUUGUAAAGCACUUUAAGUUGGGAGGAAGGGUUGUAGAUUAAUACUCUGCAAUUUUGACGUUACCGACAGAAUAAGCACCGGCUAACUCUGUGCCAGCAGCCGCGGUAAUACAGAGGGUGCAAGCGUUAAUCGGAAUUACUGGGCGUAAAGCGCGCGUAGGUGGUUUGUUAAGUUGGAUGUGAAAUCCCCGGGCUCAACCUGGGAACUGCAUUCAAAACUGACUGACUAGAGUAUGGUAGAGGGUGGUGGAAUUUCCUGUGUAGCGGUGAAAUGCGUAGAUAUAGGAAGGAACACCAGUGGCGAAGGCGACCACCUGGACUAAUACUGACACUGAGGUGCGAAAGCGU
rnacentral:rRNA from 1 species